rnacentral:rRNA from 1 species
GCAAGGAAUCUUGCGCAAUGGGCGAAAGCCUGACGCAGCGACGCCGCGUGAGGGAAGAAGGCCUUCGGGUCGUAAACCUCUUUUCUCGGGGAAGAAUAAUGACGGUACCCGAGGAAUAAGCCACGGCAAACUACGUGCCAGCAGUCGCGGUAACACGUAGGUGGCGAGCGUUAUCCGGAUUUAUUGGGCGUAAAGCGGGCGCAGGCGGCCUUUUAAGUCGAAUGUUAAAUUCCCCGGCUUAACUGGGGCAAACCAUUCGAUACUGUAGGGCUUGAGUGCAGCAGAGGGAGGUGGAAUUCCCGGUGUAGUGGUGAAAUGCGUAGAUAUCGGGAGGAACACUCGUGGCGAAGGCGGCCUCCUGGGCUGUAUCUGACGCUCAUGCCCGAAAGCGUGGGGAGCGAACAGGAUUAGAUACCCCUGUAGUCC